rnacentral:rRNA from 1 species
UACGUAGGGUGCAAGCGUUUGUCCGGAAUUAUUGGGCGUAAAGGGCUCGUAGGCGGUUUGUCGCGUCGGCUGUGAAAACCCGAGGCUCAACCUCGGGCCUGCAGUCGAUACGGGCAAACUAGAGUGUGGUAGGGGAGACUGGAAUUCCUGGUGUAGCGGUGAAAUGCGCAGAUAUCAGGAGGAACACCGGCGGCGAAGGCGGGUCUCUGGGCCAUAACUGACGCUGAGGAGCGAAAGCGUGGGGAGCGAACAGG